AAAAUAGGCGAUGGAGUUCGCCAUUAAAUGCACAAAGCUAAUGACUCCUACUCA
rnacentral:ncRNA from 1 species